UACAGAGGGGGCAAGCGUUGUUCGGAAUUACUGGGCGUAAAGGGCGCGUAGGCGGUCCGGUAAGUCAGCUGUGAAAGUCAAGGGCUCAACCCUUGAAUGCCGGUUGAUACUGUCGGGCUAGAGUCCGGAAGAGGCGAGUGGAAUUCCCGGUGUAGCGGUGAAAUGCGCAGAUAUCGGGAGGAACACCAAUGGCGAAGGCAGCUCGCUGGGACGGUACUGACGCUGAGACGCGAAAGCGUGGGGAGCAAACAGGG
rnacentral:rRNA from 1 species